UACACACAAACACAAAUUUAUAAUAUUUAUGCCGGUCAACUUAUCUCUCAUUGAAUGAUCGUCGUCUGCGCUACUCUGUUAAUCAACUGCAACACUUCACAAUACGACGAUUACGGACAACAGAUGACUAAUCCAACAUCCAUUUUACCGUGAUUCUUGUGCAGUUGUACAAAAAAAUGCGAUAGAUCUAUGAAGAAAAAACGAUCAGACAACAUUAUAUGACAAAAGAUUGCGUGUAUAACAACCAUCCUAAUCGUAGUGUUAUUGGAACGUUUGGAAUUAUGUAUCAACAGAUGUUUUAUUCAAACAUUCACAUUAUACGAAAUACUUAGUUCAUUGGUGUACCCACUCGAUUUUUUUAUAGCACAGCAUCACGAGAUCACGAUUACAAUGCCAAUUAUACCGGUAAAAUUAUAAUUUAAGGAACAUAAAAACCGUUAUAAUGAUUCGAGUUCAAAAUUUUCAAUUUUUUAAAAUUAUAGUUGGGGUAAAACUACAUUAUCUAAUGAAAAAACUUGUCCCUCUCCAUGUCUCAAUAUAUACAUUAUAAAUAGUACCUUAACUUAAGCACUUGGACAAUUAAAUAAUAAUGCAUUAUGGUUAGAAUUCCGUUGAGUAAAUAUAAUUUUUACAGCAAAAUAAACUUAAGGAAUUUUACUAUAAUUAAUGUAUUUACUAUUUUCGAUGCUUACUACUUUGAAAAC